rnacentral:lncRNA from 1 species
UCACAGGGUAACUGCUGCUAUUUUCCCAUGACUGCAAUGAAGAAUUGUGGCUGAAGUCAAUUGUGUAUCCUGCUGUUUAAUUCACUUCUGACAGUAUCUGAUGUUACAGCAUACUGCACAAGUGAAGGGAUUGACAUCACAAGGCUUUCCACACUUCUGGUGCCAGAUGUCCACAUAGCUGCAAUCCACCUAUUCUUCUUCCUGGGUGAUUUCUCAAAGACAAGGAUAACCUAAGUUAAUUCAGGGUCUUGUCUCGCCCUUUUCCUGGACUCCACCCUAACACAUACAGUGCUUCUCUUCUCUGUUUUCAAAAGUGGAUUUUCUUACUCUACCCUAAAAGCAUUAUUUCUGUAGCUGCUAUGAAAACUUCAAACCAGUUAUUCAUUCAAGGAUAGAAACACGAAGCUGCUGCAUCAAGAAGCAAAUUCCGGAGUGGAAUUGUGGGCUCCUUGUACCUAAGCUCCAUGUACCUACCUUCACUUGUGGGCCCAGGCCAACGAGAAAGUACAUCCAACUCUCUAGUACUUGUUCAGUUCCUAAAAUAUGCACACGCUCUCCCCAGUCAACUUGCACCAGAUGUUUGUUCUCUCAGACUUGAGUCUUUGAGGAGAUAGGCUUAAUGUUAGAGGUCUAGGGGCUCCCUAGGCAAACCUGCCCCAUAGUUCUGUGUUCAGUAGGUGGGUAAAAAGUGAUAGAAUUGCUUUACAAAUUUCCUAGGGAAUACGUUAGUUUCGCCUUCUAACACCUUUUCUCAUUAAUUCCACUUAGGGGGAUUUAUUGGAGUUUUCAGAUGGUUCCACCAGUUGCAGACAGGUACAUAAAGGGGGGCCCCCAUAUACAUAAGUUUUUGAAUCUGUGGGACCAACAGGAAACCUUCCUUUUUAUCUUCUGAAGGUUCACAAGGAUAACCACAAAUAAAACAGGCGAAAAGACACAAAUGUCUCAAUGUGCGAAAAAGAUGGAGCCUCGCACAGUCCAAGAUUUGAAAAACAGUCAAACAUCUCAAGUUAAAUAUGAAAGAGGGCAGUGGAGAUGAAAGUCAUGUUUAGGAAGAUAGCAAAUUAAUUUUUGGGUGAUGCCAUCAGCUUGGAAAAAAUACAGUGACAUGAAACAAAAGCCUGUCUGGCCUUAGGACAGGGAAUGGUUUGUAAACUACUCUUUAUCGAAUAUCAAACAGGAUCAAAAUAGAGGGCAAUGGUAUGUGGUGAGAUUUUGUUCAGCUGUAUGCACAGACAUCUCCCCUUCGUCCUUGGAGUUUAUUUAUCCUUCUCAGUUUAAUGAAACUUUGGGAGGAUGGAGGAAGGAAAUCCUCUUUCUUUUUGUCAGAUUUGGGAACUACACAGAAUUUAUUCUUCCUGUGUUCAGAGAAGAUUAAAUAAGGGCAAAUCAGAGGUGUCUUAGAUCUUUAAUAAUUGUGUGUGUGUGUGUCUGUCUGUCUGCCUAUUUGUCUCUCUGUGCACGUAUGUAUGCGUGUGCCUCUGUGUGUGUGUGUCUCUGUAUAUGUGUGUAUGAGUGUAUCUCUCUCUCUCUCUUUGUGUGUGUGUGUGUGUGUGUGUGUGUGUGUGUAUGUGUGCAUCUGUCUGUCUGUGUGUAUGUCUCUCUCUGGGUGUAUGUGUGUGUGUUUGUGUCUGUCUGCCUAUUUGUUUCUCUGUGUAUGAGUGUGUGUCUCUCUUUGUGUGUGUGUGUUUGUCUGUCUCUCCGUCUUUGUGUGUAUGAAUAUGUCUAUGUGUAUGAGUAAGUCUGUCUGUGAGUAUGUCUGUGUGUGUGUGUGUGUGUGUGUGUGUGUGUGUGUGUGUGUGUGUGUGUGUGUGAGUGACUGUGCCUGGUCAGCCUGCUUCACCUGCCUGCACCACUCCAGUGCUGGGCUUAAGACAUAGACUGCUGCACACAGCUUUUGACUGCAGUGCUGGGCUAGAACUCAGGCCCUCAGGAUUCAACAAUGAGCACUUGACUGAGCUUCAUCCCGAGUUAUAUCUUAGGCAUUCGAAGCACUGUUUGUUAGGAAUCAUUUUCUGAGGCCUGCAGCCUCCUCUUGAUGCGGAGUGAGCAUCAGUAUGGCCCAUCUUCUAGAGUUCCACAGUCAUGCAGAGACAUGGAGGCAGGGGUUCCUGAGAUGUGGGUUUCCAGGGCUAUCUCAUGUAAGUCCCUUGCCACAGUCCCAAACAACUUGCUUCAUCCUCACACCCGUGCUCUGCUGUCUUGAUCUUGUGGGUUCACCUAGGAGUUAAGGCACUUACGGUCUCAUCCGUACGUGUAAUCAUUUGAAUUUAAUGGAAGCUAUCCCAGAAUCCCUGCUACAUGAUUUGAAGCAGGGAGGCCCCAGAGGUUUUUAAAUGAGUAAGGCUCAUGUGAAGGUGAAGGUGGUUUUCCCAAUUAUAUUCCAAGUUAGAUUUUAUAGGAAACCUUCCCAUCCAGGGCGGGAUACCAGCAUAGCCCAACAGGCUAGUGAGUGGCACAGGAUUGAGGAAUACAGUGUCAAGACCUGACCCUCCCUGGACAGAGACUCAAGAGUGAGAACCAAGCAUCAGGUUGGACCCCAGGAUUCAUCCAAGACUGGAAAUCCCAUGCAUAUCACACAGACUUUGCCUCAGGGGACCAAGGGCAACAGAAUAAAAUACAAACCACUCACAUCCUCAAUUGCAUCUGCAGCUUCCAGAGACGUCCAGGGCUAACUUUUCACUUACUUAAACUAUCACUGAGGUUUAAAAUAAUAAAAAAAAAUCUUUUGAUAUUGAUUCUUAUAAUAGACAAUGGUUUGAAAUCAAACAGCGUGGCAGGUACUUGACCCGAAUCUGCUUUGAAACAGUCGGACUGAAUUCCUGAAAGUGGGGACUGAGGGGCUUCCAGAUUUAGCCUUUGCUAUUGAGCCUGGAACAGGAAGGCUUCACCAUUGCUAUUAAUGUCUGACUUCUCAUAAGAAUGACACUGUAUCACUUUAAGGUCUUAUCUAAGAAACUAAAAAUCCUUUGUACCUUGCUCCUUUGCUUUUUCGGCAUUCUGACAUCUCCAUGAGGAACAAUUGUUCAAUAUGUAAAGUCUAAACGACUCUUUUUAUUGAAUAAAGUAUUGUGUUAUUGAAUGAAUCACAAAGCAGCAGUCUCCUUUGCGCAUUAACUUUGAAUCUGCUGCUACGAGCAAAAUCCUGAUUUUUUUUUUCUUUCAGAUGCUAAUAACAUACUGUCCAGGCUAGACAAGGUUAUUCUCUAAAAGGAAUGGGUAAGAAUUGGUUUGCUUUCAUUAUUUAUCUGCUUAAUAAUGGUUUCUUAGAGUCACGGAAUAAACUUUGUUCCUUAUUGUCCAUU